rnacentral:rRNA from 1 species
GUAUAAGCAAUUUGUACUGUGAAACUGCGAAUGGCUCAUUAAAUCAGUUAUCGUUUAUUUGAUAGUACCUUACUACAUGGAUACCUGUGGUAAUUCUAGAGCUAAUACAUGCUAAAAACCCCGACUUCGGAAGGGGUGUAUUUAUUAGAUAAAAAACCAAUGCCCUUCGGGGCUCCUUGGUGAUUCAUAAUAACUUAACGAAUCGCAUGGCCUUGCGCCGGCGAUGGUUCAUUCAAAUUUCUGCCCUAUCAACUUUCGAUGGUAGGAUAGUGGCCUACCAUGGUGGCAACGGGUAACGGGGAAUUAGGGUUCGAUUCCGGAGAGGGAGCCUGAGAAACGGCUACCACAUCCAAGGAAGGCAGCAGGCGCGCAAAUUACCCAAUCCCGACACGGGGAGGUAGUGACAAUAAAUACUGAUACGGGGCUCUUUUGGGUCUCGUAAUUGGAAUGAGUACAAUCUAAAUCCCUUAACGAGGAACAAUUGGAGGGCAAGUCUGGUGCCAGCAGCCGCGGUAAUUCCAGCUCCAAUAGCGUAUAUUAAAGUUGUUGCAGUUAAAAAGCUCGUAGUUGAACCUUGGGUCUGGCUGGCCGGUCCGCCUCACCGCGAGUACUGGUCCGGCUGGACCUUUCCUUCUGGGGAACCUCAUGGCCUUCACUGGCUGUGGGGGGAACCAGGACUUUUACUGUGAAAAAAUUAGAGUGUUCAAAGCAGGCCUUUGCUCGAAUACAUUAGCAUGGAAUAAUAGAAUAGGACGUGCGGUUCUAUUUUGUUGGUUUCUAGGACCGCCGUAAUGAUUAAUAGGGAUAGUCGGGGGCGUCAGUAUUCAGCUGUCAGAGGUGAAAUUCUUGGAUUUGCUGAGACUAACUACUGCGAAAGCAUUCGCCAAGGAUGUUUUCAUUAAUCAGGGAACGAAAGUUAGGGGAUCGAAGACGAUCAGAUACCGUCGUAGUCUUAACCAUAAACUAUGCCGACUAGGGAUCGGGCGGUGUUUCUAUGAUGACCCGCUCGGCACCUUACGAGAAAUCAAAGUUUUUGGGUUCUGGGGGGAGUAUGGUCGCAAGGCUGAAACUUAAAGAAAUUGACGGAAGGGCACCA